NAGUACNGUGAUGGAAAGAUGAAAAGAACUUUGAAAAGAGAGUGAAAAAGUNCGUGAAAUUGUUGAAAGNGAAGGAUAUGAGAUCAGACUUNGUAUUUUGCAACCUUNCCNUCNUNGUNGGGCCCCUGCAGUUUNCUGGGCCAGCAUCAAUUUGGAUGAUGGGAUAAUGACUCAGGAAUGUAGCUUUACUUCGGUGAAGUGUUAUAGCCUNUGUUGAUACCGUCUAUCUAGAUUGAGGACUGCGUCUUUUGACAAGGAUGUUGGCA
rnacentral:rRNA from 1 species